AUUCAGAAAACAAGCUAAGAUAAGGAUGUCAGCCCCCCAACCCCCAGACAUGUCUCAUGACCACUGAGUCAUGCAUCAAUGAUGGGUGUGGGUGUGUGGAUGGAUGUAGCCAAGCCCAUUGACCGAGGACUGAGACAUACUCCCCACUAAUCAACAAGUUAACAAGCUCUCUGAUGAGGAGGCAGUGAUUAAUGAACCAAUCGGCUUGCCCUGUAGGAUCUAUGUCCCCUUGUCCUGGUGUCCUCUUCCACCUCCAUGCUCAGCAGGGCACCCUGGUGUUUCCUGGGAUGUGUGGUCCCAUGGGGCCUGACUGGCUGAUAAGGAGCCAUCUGCGGAGAAUGCAGGUGAUUGAACCCAUAAAAGAGUGACUGAGAGUUUCCUGGGGCUGCUGUAACAAAUGACCACAAAGGAUUCUCACAUGUUUAAGAGCUUGUUGCUCUCCCUCUCCCUCUCCCUCUCCCUCUCCCUCUCCGUCUCCCUCUCCGUCUCCCUCUCCGUCUCCCCACGGUCUCCCUCUCAUGCGGGGCCGAAGCUGGACUGUACUGCUGCCAUCUCGGCUCACUGCAACCUCCCUGCCUGAUUCUCCUGCCUCAGCCUGCCGAGUGCCUGCGAUUGCAGGCACGCGCCGCCACGCCUGACUGGUUUUGGUGGAGACGGGGUUU
rnacentral:lncRNA from 10 species